rnacentral:rRNA from 1 species
AGCGAACGCUGGCGGCAGGCCUAACACAUGCAAGUCGAACGAACCUUUCGGGGUUAGUGGCGGACGGGUGAGAAACACGUGGGAACGUGCCUUUAGGUUCGGCAUAACUCAGGGAAACUUGUGCUAAUACCGAAUGUGCCCUUCGGGGGAAAGAUUUAUCGCCUUUAGAGCGGCCCGCGUCUGAUUAGCUAGUUGGUUGAGGUAAUGGCUCACCCAGGCGACGAGCAGUAGCUGGUCUGAGAGGAUGAUCAGCCACAUUGGGACUGAGACACGGCCCAAACUCCUACGGGAGGCAGCAGUGGGGAAUCUUGCGCAAUGGGCGAAAGCCUGACGCAGCCAUGCCGCGUGAAUGAUGAAGGUCUUAGGAUUGUAAAAUUCUUUCACCGGGGACGAUAAUGACGGUACCCGGAGAAGAAGCCCCGGCUAACUUCGUG